AUUGGACGCUGGCGGCAGGCCUAACACAUGCAAGUCGAGCGGAUGAAGGGAGCUUGCUCCCGGAUUCAGCGGCGGACGGGUGAGUAAUGCCUAGGAAUCUGCCUGGUAGUGGGGGAUAACGUCCGGAAACGGGCGCUAAUACCGCAUACGUCCUGAGGGAGAAAGUGGGGGAUCUUCGGACCUCACGCUAUCAGAUGAGCCUAGGUCGGAUUAGCUAGUUGGUGGGGUAAAGGCCUACCAAGGCGACGAUCCGUAACUGGUCUGAGAGGAUGAUCAGUCACACUGGAACUGAGACACGGUCCAGACUCCUACGGGAGGCAGCAGUGGGGAAUAUUGGACAAUGGGCGAAAGCCUGAUCCAGCCAUGCCGCGUGUGUGAAGAAGGUCUUCGGAUUGUAAAGCACUUUAAGUUGGGAGGAAGGGCAGUAAGUUAAUACCUUGCUGUUUUGACGUUACCAACAGAAUAAGCACCGGCUAACUUCGUG
rnacentral:rRNA from 1 species